rnacentral:rRNA from 1 species
UGGGGAAUUUUGGACAAUGGGCGAAAGCCUGAUCCAGCCAUGCCGCGUGAGUGAAGAAGGCCUUCGGGUUGUAAAGCUCUUUUAGUCGGAAAGAAAGAGUUGCAAUGAAUAAUUGUGAUUUAUGACGGUACCGACAGAAAAAGCACCGGCUAACUACGUGCCAGCAGCCGCGGUAAUACGUAGGGUGCGAGCGUUAAUCGGAAUUACUGGGAGUAAAGGGUGCGCAGGCGGUCUUGCAAGUCAGAUGUGAAAGCCCCGGGCUUAACCUGGGAAUUGCGUUCGAAACUACAAGGCUAGAGUGCAGCAGAGGGGAGUGGAAUUCCAUGUGUAGCAGUGAAAUGCGUAGAGAUGUGGAAGAACACCGAUGGCGAAGGCAGCUCCCUGGGUUGACACUGACGCUCAUGCACGAAAGCGUGGGGAGCAAACA